rnacentral:rRNA from 1 species
CUGACACAUGGAGAUAGUCGAACCCGGCCGUUGGUCGCGCCGGGCGAAAGGGACCGAACUAUAUAGUAAGGGAAGUCGAUGAUAGCUACUAGUGGCGAGAAAAGGCGAAGUGAGGUACCCGUACCGCAAACCGACACAGGUAGAUAAGGAGAGAAUCCUAAGGCCAACGGGAGAAGGGUUGUUAAGGAACUACGGCAAAUUGGUACCCGUAACUACGGGAGAAGGGACGCCCUCGAAAGAGGGUACGCAGUGAAUAGGCCCAAGCAACUAGUUUACCAAAAACACAGGUACUACUAGCUAAAUCGAAAGAUAGACGUAAUAGGGGCUAGACGCCUAGCCCGGUGCCGGAAGGUAUAAGAGGAGGGCUAUAGUGGCAACACGAAGGCUUGAAUAUUAAGCCCCGGUAAACGGCGGCCGUAACUAAUAACGGUCCUAAAGGUAAGCGAAAUUCCUUGUCAGGUAAGUUCUAGACCCGCACGAAAGGCGUAAAUGAUAUGGGCACUGUCUACAACAGCCCGCCCGGCGAAUUGUAGUACCCGUGAAGAUGCCGGUACCCGCAACUAGACGGAAAGACCCCAUGGAGCUUUACUGCAGCUUAAUACUGAGAUUCGGUAAAUCAUGUACAGGAUAGGUAGGGAGACUUGGAAACAUGGCCGUCAGGUCGUGCGGAGUCAUCCUUGGGAUACCACCCUUGGUUUGCUGGGUUUCUAACCUGCGGCCCUGAAUCGGGUCGGGGGACACUGUUAGGCGGGCAGUUUGACUGGGGCGGUCGCCUCCUAAAGAGUAGCGGAGGCGCUCAAAGGUUGGCUCAGCAUGGAUGGAAACCAUGCAAUGAGUGUAAACGUAUAAGCCAGCCUAACUGCGAGACCGACGGGUCGAGCAGUAACGAAAGUUGGAGUUAGUGAUCCGGUGGUAUGUGAGUGGAAAUGCCAUCGCUCAACGGAUAAAAGCUACCCUGGGGAUAACAGGCUGAUCUCCCCCAAGCGUCCACAGCGACGGGGAGGUUUGGCACCUCGAUGUCGGCUCGUCACAUCCUGGGGCUGUAUUCGGUCCCAAGGGUUCGGCUGUUCGCCGAUUAAAGUGGCACGCGAGCUGGGUUCAGAACGUCGUGAGACAGUUCGGUCCCUAUCUGUUGCGGGCGUCGGAGAUUUGAAGGGAGCUGUCCUUAGUACGAGAGGACCGGGAUGGACAUACCUCUGGUGCACCAGUUGUUCUGCCAAGGGCACAGCUGGGUAGCUACGUAUGGACGAGAUAAACGCUGAAGGCAUCUAAGCGUGAAACUCCCCCUAAGAUGAGAUCUCCCCUCCCUCGAGGAGUAAGGCUCGACGUAGACUAUGUCGUUGAUAGGUCAGGGGUGUAAGUGCUGUAAGGCAUGCAGCUGACUGAUACUAAUAAGCCGAAAGCUUGACCU